CGGCGGACGGGUGAGUAACACGUGGGUAACCUACCUAUAAGACUGGGACAACUUCGGGAAACCGGAGCUAAUACCGGAUAAGAUAUCGAACCGCAUGGUUCGAUAGUGAAAGAUGGUUUUGCUAUCACUUAUAGAUGGACCCGCGCCGUAUUAGCUAGUUGGUGAGGUAACGGCUCACCAAGGCAACGAUACGUAGCCGACCUGAGAGGGUGAUCGGCCACACUGGAACUGAGACACGGUCCAGACUCCUACGGGAGGGCAGCAGUU
rnacentral:rRNA from 1 species